GUGAGGCAGGAACUGAGAGGUGCUGGCGUGUCCCAUACCUCUCUCACCUUCAGAACUCCCUGAGGCCUCAUGUUCUUUCUGUCUGUCAUCAGAGGCUGAGCAGUACAGCAGUUGAGAGAAGAGGCUCAGGAACCAGGAAUGGGAAGCUGAUCUGUUUGGGGACGUGCCAGUGAAGCGGUGUGCGUUGGCACCACCAGCGGCUGUCAUUCUCAGGAGACAAUGGGAUUGGAGCGCCAAGGGGGAGAGUUCUCCAUGCAGAAUUUCCCUGCUUAAUCCGCUCUUGUGCGCUGGCACCAAGUCAACAAAGGAAAGGAACCAAAUUACCCGGGCGGCUUUGGCAGGCUGCACCACUGUCAGCGGGCCAGAAGUUAAUUCCCUCAUCUUCCCCCGUGCCACCAACUCAGGGGGCAGGUCU
ensembl:lncRNA novel transcript